AGAGUUUGAUCCUGGCUCAGGAUGAACGCUGGCGGCGUGCUUAACACAUGCAAGUCGAACGAAGCAUUAUUUUACGAUCUUUUCGGAGUGACGAGAUAAUGACUUAGUGGCGGACGGGUGAGUAACGCGUGGGCAAUCUGUCCCGGACAGGGGGAUACCCGAUGGAAACAUCGGCUAAUACCGCAUAAGACCACAGUGUCGCAUGGCACAGGGGUAAAAGAACUUCGGUUCGGGGUGAGUUCGCGUCCGAUUAGAUAGUUGGUGAGGUAACGGCCCACCAAGUCGACGAUCGGUAGCCGACCUGAGAGGGUGAUCGGCCACAUUGGAACUGAGAAACGGUCCAAACUCCUACGGGAGGCAGCAGUGGGGAAUAUUGGGCAAUGGGCGCAAGCCUGACCCAGCAACGCCGCGUGAGGGAAGAAGGUUUUCGGAUUGUAAACCUCUAUCGUUGGGGACGACAAACGACGGUACCCAACAAGGAAGCCCCGGCUAGCUACGUGCCAGCAGCCGCGGUAAUACGUAGGGGGCAAGCGUUGUCCGGAAUGACUGGGCGUAAAGGGCGUGUAGGCGGCUCUAUAAGUUUGGAGUGAAAGUCCCUGCUUUCAAGGUGGGAAUUGCUUUGGAUACUGUAGAGCUUGAGUGCGGAAGAGGUAAGUGGAAUUCCCAGUGUAGCGGUGAAAUGCGUAGAGAUUGGGUAGAACACCGGUGGCGAAGGCGGCUAUCUGGCUGUUAAUUGACGCUGAGGCACGAAAGCAUGGGGAUCAAACAGGAUUAGAUACCCUGGUAGUCCAUGCUGUAAACGAAAAAUUCUAGAGGUGGGUAAAAGUAUCAGUGUUGCAGCAAGCGCGAUAAGCGUUCCGCCUGGGGGGGUACGGCCGCAAGGUUAGAAACUCAAAAGGAGUUGACGAGGGACCCGCACAAGGGGUGGAGCAUAGGGUUUAAUUGGAUGCAACGCGAAGAACCUUGCCAACUCUUGACAUCCUCAUCGGGGAGGGGAGAGAUCUCUUCUUUCAGCUAGGCUGGAUGAGUGACAGAUGCUGCAUGGCUGUCGUCAGCUCGUGUCGUGAGAUGUUGGGUUAAGUCCCGCAACGAGCGGCAACCCUUGCUUUCAGUUGCCAGCAUAUAAUGGUGGGCACUCUGGAAGGACUGCCGGUGACAAGCCGGAGGAAGGUGGGGAGGACGUCAAGUCAUCAUGGCUCUUACGAGUUGGGCUACACACGUGCUACAAUGGCGCUUACAGAGGGGAGCGAAGGCGCGAGCCAGAGCAAAUCUUAAAAAAGCGUCUCAGUUCAGAUUGUACUCUGCAACUCGAGUACAUGAAGUUGGAAUCGCUAGUAAUCGCGGAUCAGCAUGCCGCGGUGAAUACGUUCCCGGGUCUUGCACUCACCGCCC
rnacentral:rRNA from 1 species